rnacentral:tRNA from 1 species
GGGGGCAUAGCUCAAUUGGUUAGAGCAUCUGACUCAUAAUCAGGUGGUUCUAGGUUCAAGUCCUAGUGCCCCCA